AAAGUAGAAGUUUCCUAAAUAUUUGACCUGCAAUCAAAAGUUGAUAAUUCAUUUUGUCCUACUUUA
rnacentral:tRNA from 1 species